rnacentral:misc_RNA from 1 species
AAGUCGUAACAAGGUUUCCGUAGGUGAACCUGCGGAAGGAUCAUUAGUGAAUAUUAGGGCAUCUGCUUGCAGAGCCCGACCCUCCACUUCUAACACUGUGCAUUAUUUGGUCAUCUGGCAACGUGCUCUCGGGCAUUGCGCUGUUUGGCUUAUUUUACCAUUAAACAUUAGUAUCAGUAUGUAACGAAAUAUCGAAACAAAAAAAAACUUUCAACAACGGAUCUCUUGGCUCUC